GUCCACGCCGUAAACGAUGGAAGCUAGCCGUCGGACAGCUUGCUGUUCGGUGGCGCAGCUAACGCUUUAAGCUUCCCGCCUGGGGAGUACGGUCGCAAGAUUAAAACUCAAAGGAAUUGACGGGGGCCCCGCACAAGCGGUGGAGCAUGUGGUUUAAUUCGAAGCAACGCGAAGAACCUUACCAGCCCUUGACAUGGCAGGACGGUGCCCAGAGAUGGGUAUCUUCCCUUCGGGGACCUGCACACAGGUGCUGCAUGGCUGUCGU
rnacentral:rRNA from 1 species